AGUAGAGACGGGGUUUUACUGUGGUCUCAAUCUCCUGACUUCGUGAUCCGCCCACCUUGGCCUCCGAAAGUGCUGAGAUUACAGGCAUGAGCCACCGCGCCCGGUCUGAAACCCUGUCUCUAAAAAAAAUAUAAAAAUUAGCUGGGUGUGCUGGAGCACACCUGUAGUCCCAGCUCAUCAGGAGGCUGAGGUGGGAGGAUCACGUGAGCCUAGGAGGCAGAGGCUGCAGUGAGCCAAGAUAGCGCCACUAACAAACCAGCCUGGGCAAAAGUGCAAGACCCUGUCUCAAAAAGACAAAACAAAACAAAAAAAACACAGAGAAGUGAAGUGAAUGGUUUAAUUCAAAUUUAUACUCUGGAUUAAAAAGAAAUAAAAAUGAAAUUUGCUUCAAGAAGUCUGUAUACUUAAAUCAUGUUGACAUUCCAACUAAGAUUUAGAAAAACAACAUCUUUUGGGAAUCACUUUUUUUUGUAUUUUUAGUAGACAUGGGGUUUCACCACGUUGGCGAGGCUGGACUUGAACUCCUGACCUCAGGUGAUCCGCCCGCGUUGGCCUCCCAAAGUGCUGGGAUUACAGGUGUGAGCCACUGUGCCCAGCCUGUGAAUCACUUUUUACUAAUCUCAGGAAGGUCACAAUGCUAUCAUUAUUUGCUUUUAGAAUAAUCACUAAGAGCUUAAUAACAUUAAAAUACAUUAAAAACACCAGAGUUAGAUUUUUAAAACUAAGAAAAUGUUAAAAGUACAAAAUUUCUCACCUUCUUGAGAACAGUGUGGAUUUCAUCCAUUACCGUAGAUAAGUUUCUGAUUGUCUUAUUCAUUUGGUUUUCAAAUUGUAAAUUCAUGUUUUCCGAAAUCUUUAAGUUUUCUUGUAACUGACUAAGGUCCUUUUUAACUUCUCUGAGUUCACCAGAGAGGCUUUUGUUGGAAUUCUCCAAAUUUAAUAUGGUUUUUUCAUCUUCAUCUGUUUAAAAAAAUCCAAAAAUUAACAUUUUACUUCCUAAAAUUUCAAAUUUAACUUUGAGGUUAAAAUAUUUAAGCUGUGAAAAUAAAAAGCUGAUAGAAUUCCAUAAAAUGGCAAUGUCUGUCAAUUUCAUUAGUCAUAAAGCACACUGCAAUAUUCAUUUAUUUAUGUAUUUACUUUUGAGACUGAGUCUCACUCUGUUGCGCCAGCUUGAGCGAAGUGGCACGAUCUUGGCUGGGAUUACAGGCGCGUACCACCACACCCAGCUAAUUUUUGUAUUUUUAGAGACGGGGUUUCACCAUGUUGGUCAGGCUGGUCUCGAACUCCUGACCUCAAACAAUCUGCCUGCCUCGGCCUCCCAAAGUGCUGGGAUUACAGGCGGGAGCCACCAUGCCUGGCCUGUUUCAUUUAAAUUUUUAACUUGUAUUAUUUCAAAACCUAUGUUCUAUUUUUAGAUGACUGUAUAGAUUAGAGAACACAGACUGGUAAAAACUAAGUGGAGGCCAGGCGCAGUGGCUCAUGCCUGUAAACCCAGCACUUUGGGAGGCUGAGGUGGGCGGAUCACGAGGUCAGGAGAUCGAGACCAUCCUAGCAAACAUGGUGAAACCCUGUCUCUACUAAAAAUACAAAAAAUUAGCCAGGCGUGGUGACACGCACCUGUAGUCCCAGCUACUUGGGAGGCUGAGGCAGGAGAAUCGCUUGAACUUGGGAGGUGGAGGUUGCAAUGGGCCAAGAUAGCCCCACUGCACUCCAGCCUGGGUGACAGGGCAAAACUCUGUCUCAAAAAAAAAAAAGUGGAACCAGAAGAUGAUUAAAAGGAUGCAACAGGUAACAAUGAACCUGAGAAUACACAGGAAGACCUAAGAUUCAGAUAAAGCUAAGCAAUUUUAUAACCUGAACCAGAAAUAGUGAAAAGUAAAGGUCCCUGCAGAGCAUGGUGGCUCCUGCCUGUAAUCCCAACACUAUAGGAGGCCAAAGUGGGUGAUCCCUUGAGGUCAGGAGUUUGAGACCAUCCUGGCCAACAUGGUGAAACCCCAUUUCUACUAAAAAUACAAAAAAUAGCUGGGCAUGGUGGCGCAUGCCUGGCCAAUUUUUGUAUUUUUGGAGAGACAGGGUUUCACCAUGUUAGCCAGGCUGGUCUUGAACUCCUGACCUCAGGUGAUCCACCCUCCUCCGCCUCCCAAAGUGCUGGGAUUACAGGUGUGAGCCACUAUGCCCAGCUGUAAUUUUCACUUAUGAUGGAAAUCCAUGGAAUUGAGUAAGAUCCAAGUUACUUUUGAAAAAAAAAACUUCAUUGUUAAAAAGUAUAACAUUGAUAAAAAUUUAUGCACAGGGAUGAUUUAUUACAGCAUAGUUGGUAAAUCCAAUAAAUGAAAACCACCAGCAAUGGAGACUAGGUAGGUAAAUUAUGGUACAUCUGUAUAAUGGGUACUGUGCAGCUAUAAAAAGAAUGAGGCAGGUCUCUAUUUUCAUGGUGAAUGUAUCUAUAGAAUACUGUGGAAUGAAAAAAAAAAAGCCAGUCAAAACGUACAGAAUAAUUCCACGUUUUGUUUAUAAAAAUGGAACUGAGCUGCUUACAAAAAGAUCUAGAAUUUUAUAUAUUGUAGUCCUAAGGAGUAGAAACAGAGGGAGAGGGAGAAGGGAAGUGUUUUACAACUGGCUUGUGUUAUAUUGCUUUAUUUUUAUUUUUUGAGAUGGAGUCUCACUCUGUCACCCAGGCUGGAGUGCAGUGGCGUGAUCUUGGCUCAUUGCAACCUCCACCUCCUGGGUUCAAGAGAUUCUCCUGUCUCAGCUUCCCGAGUAGCUGGGAUUACAGGCGUGUGCCACCACACCCAGCUAAUUUUUGCAUUUUUAGUAGAGACGGAGCUACGCCAUGUUGGCCAAGCUGGUCUUAAACUCCUGGCCUCAACUGAUCUGCCCGCCUCAGCCUCCCAACCUGCUGGGAUUAUAGGUGUGAGCCACCACGCCUGGCCCUUAUAUUGCUUUAAUAUAUCAAAAAGUCAACAGAGGUUCUAUUAACUUUUCACUGGAAAGGUAACUUUUAAAAAAUGUUUUCCUUUUAAAUAUUCACAAGAUAGAUUACCUGAGCCCGAGAAAGAUGUAGUCCAAGAGUAUAAAGUAUUUCUUCCAAAUCCUUUUCAAGAAGGUAACCACAAUGACUUUGAUCAAAAUAAACAAAAGCCAUUAACAGAUCUCUGUUAAUUGUGAUCAUUUGAGUCUUUUCUUUUUCCUAAGAAAAUGGAGAAGUAGAAAACAUAGUAUUCAAAUUUCAAAUUUUUUACCCCCAAAAAGUGAGAAACGGAGACUGUGCAUAAGAUAGCAAUAAUCUAAUAAGAUAUUUGCCUCAUCCUAGCUAAAAUGAGUUUAUCUGGUAUACGAAUAUGAGAGAAAAGAAUCAGACAUACUAGUUAUCUGACAUAGCCACAAAAAAACAACUGACAGAAUUUUACUUAGUGGUAAUAAAGAUGUAUAAGGACUAAUAAACUUCACAACUGUGUUAUGUUUAGAUGAUGUAAGAUAUCACCAUAUUAUAAAGAAUACAGUAUUCAAUAAACACCUUAUCUUUAGAGGGCCUCUCCUUGCAGUAUCUGUUGAUAUCUCUUUUGUCAUCUCGUUUGGUCAUUUCUUCCUCAUCCCUAUCUGUAAAAUAAAUAUAACAGUGGCAAAAAAGUCAUUAAUACACAUACUUUCAAGUGGGCACAGUGGCACAUGACUGUUAUCCCAGCUACUCAGGAGGGCCAGGCGUUCGAGGGUGUAGUGAGCUAUGACUAUACCACUGCACUCCAGUCUGGGUGACAGAUCAAGACCCUGUCUUUUAAACAACAACAACAAAAACAUAAAGAGAAAACCUUAUGCUAAAACAUACAUGAACCUUGAUAACAGGCUAAGUAAAAGAAGCCAGUCACAAAAAAAUCACUUAUCGU
rnacentral:lncRNA from 1 species